rnacentral:rRNA from 1 species
GAUGAACGCUGGCGGCGUGCCUAAUACAUGCAAGUCGAGCGAACAGAUAAGGAGCUUGCUCCUUUGACGUUAGCGGCGGACGGGUGAGUAACACGUGGAUAACCUACCUAUAAGACUGGGAUAACUUCGGGAAACCGGAGCUAAUACCGGAUAACAUAUUGAACCGCAUGGUUCAAUAGUGAAAGGCGGCUUUGCUGUCACUUAUAGAUGGAUCCGCGCCGUAUUAGCUAGUUGGUAAGGUAACGGCUUACCAAGGCAACGAUACGUAGCCGACUUGAGAGGGUGAUCGGCCACACUGGAACUGAGACACGGUCCAGACUCCUACGGGAGGCAGCAGUAGGGAAUCUUCCGCAAUGGGCGAAAGCCUGACGGAGCAACGCCGCGUGAGUGAUGAAGGUCUUCGGAUCGUAAAACUCUGUUAUCAGGGAAGAACAAAUGUGUAAGUAACUGUGCACAUCUUGACGGUACCUGAUCAGAAAGCCACGGCUAACUACGUG